CAUUUUUGGACUAUUGGAUGUUACCAUGGAUUUUUGAUUUUUGAAUGGACUUUGGAGUUCCCAAUGGGACUUGUAAAAGAAGACAGAGCUUUGAAUGGCAUGCUGGCAAGAUGAAAUAUAGCAUCAACCAGGGACACCACAUCAGGACUCCUAUAUAAUACUUGAAGGAUCAUCAUGUUAACACACACCCUAAGCAACAAGAAGAAGCUGAACAUCCAGACAAAAUGUCAGCUCGCUACAGAAGGCUGCACUUGCUCCUCCAGAGUUGAUUCAUACAGAAGAAAACCAUGGGAGAUUAAUCCAUAGAUGAACACGCUGAACUGAAAUGCUUUGAUAAUUCCACAGUGGGAGGUAUAUCUGUGAGUCUACAUGGAAUCAUUGCCAAGAGACCAAAUUAAAACCAUUACAAUACCUCACAGGGACGGUGGGUAAGAUCUUAAAUUCCACCCGCUGCCUUAGAGGUGUAUUGAUAUAGGAAACAAGGAGGGAACUCAUGUUGACGCUCACCCCCACUUCCAAUUAGUAAGGCUAUAUCAAACAGCAGUAACAUAAACAGACCGGAGCAGUUUUGUUCUGAGU